UACGUAGGGGGCAAGCGUUUGUCCGGAUUUAUUGGGCAUAAAGAGCGUGUAGGCGGCCAGACAGGUCCGUUGUGAAAACUCGAGGCUCAACCUCGAGACGCCGAUGGAAACCGUCUGGCUAGAGUCCGGAAGAGGAGAGUGGAAUUCCUGAUGUAGCGGUGAAAUGCGCAGAUAUCAGGAAGAACACCCGUGGCUAAGGCGGCUCCUCUAGUACGGUACUGACGCUGAGACGCGAAAGCGUGGGGAGCGAACAGG
rnacentral:rRNA from 1 species